rnacentral:rRNA from 1 species
UCCGUAGGUGAACCUGCGGAAGGAUCAUUAAAGAUUCUAAGGCUUCGGUCUUAAUUUCGGCUGUGCGCUCAGGCUGCACGCCGAUAACCUCUCACACCUGUGCACCUUUUCUGGUUGCGGUUUCGGCCGCUUCCGCUUUUACAUGCAACCACGAAAAGUCUAGAAUGUGACGAGAACUAUAAAGUAACAACUUUCAACAACGGAUCUCUUGGCUCUCGCAUCGAUGAAGAACGCAGCGAAAUGCGAUAAGUAAUGUGAAUUGCAGAAUUCAGUGAAUCAUCGAAUCUUUGAACGCACCUUGCGCUCCUUGGUAUUCCAUGGAGCAUGCCUGUUUGAGUGUCACGUAAACCCUCACCCCUGCGAUGUAACAGUCGCCUGCGGUGGACUUGGACCGUGCCGGUAAUCGGCUCGUCUUGAAAUGCAUUAGCUGGYGCUUUUAGAGUGCUGGGCGAACGGUGUGAUAAUUAUCUGCGCCGACUGCCCUGGGCCUCUUCAGCGGCGCUGCUUACAGCCGUCCCUUGCGGACAACUAUUUUAAAGCUUUGGCCUCAAAUCAGGUAGGACUACCCGCUGAACUUAAGCAUAUCAAUAAGCGGAGGA